CAAAACAUGGCUUUAUAGAUUCUCUACGUGUGUUGUUUAGUAUGCAUACUUAUCCUUCUUUGUUUGAGAGAUUUAUGCAAAGCUAAGGAGACCUUGACUUCCUACUUAAACCCACAGAGCUCCCCACCUCCUCGAAACAUCUCCCCAGAGCAACUCCCUUUGUGAUCCUGCCCAUCACUCCACGAUGGUGCCUGUAUCCCUGAUGCUCGUUUUCCUGGCUGCCUAUUCUCCAGGUGUCGUCUCACAGGUGGUGCUGACUCAAGAAGGUCCAGUCUUGAAAAAACCCGGAGAAUCUCACAAGCUGACCUGUGCCACCAGUGGGUUUGCUCUUAGCAGCUACUGGAUGUACUGGGUUAGACAGAAACCUGGCAAAGGACUGGAAUGGCUUGUGAGCUAUUACAACACUGCAUCUGGGAACAGUCAUUACUCUCCUGCAAUCCAAGGCCGAUUCACAGCCUCUAAGGGCAGCUCCAACUUCUAUCUGCAAAUGAACAACCUGAAAGAGGAAGACACGGCCGUCUAUUACUGUGCAAGGGACACAGUGAGAGAGAUCCCAGCAGAGCUGAGACAAAAACCUAUUCUUGCAUGACAUUUAGAGAACAGUCACCAGAG